UACAAUGGCCGGUACAGAAAGCAGCGAAGUCGCGAGGCGGAGCAAAUCUCAAAAACCGGUCCCAGUUCGGACUGCAGGCUGCAACCCGCCUGCACGAAGCCGGAGUUGCUAGUAAUCGCGAAUCAGAAUGUCGCGGUGAAUGCGUUCCCGGGUCUUGUACACACCGCCCGUCACACCAUGGAAGUUGGGGGUGCCCAAAGCCGGCAAGCAAAUAUGCUGUCUAAGGCAAAACCAAUGACUGGGGUGAAGUCGUAACAAGGUAAC
rnacentral:rRNA from 1 species